ACCCCGGACACCCCGCCCGACGCGCGGCCGGUUACCUUCUUCGUAGCCCCACUCCACCCCCUCCUCCUCUUCCUCUUCAUCCUCCUCCUUCUCCGGGAAGGCGACGGAAUCUUCGAUGAAGCUCAGCACUGCUCUGAGUUUAGGCAUUCCAUCCAACAUCACUAGAUUGCAGAUUCUCUCAGAUGGAAGAGUAGAAAAGUAACGAAAGUUGCCCCUGACUCAAAAUCUUCCUUGAAAAAUGAUGGCAAGAAAACUGACUCAUUUGACCUUUCGAACGCCAGACAUACUCCACCGCGGUGCAUCCCUUCGGCUCAGGUGCCACUGCAGUGGACACGUGCCUUAGCAGUGACACCAUGAUGGGGAGUGCCGGUGCCUCCGCUACCAGCAAGGAUGGGUCCUCGGUGCCAGCCAAGAUCUGAUCCAACUCUAGUGUCCCACUCUAACACUGUUGGCUGUUGCCUCAGACUUAUCAUGCAGCUCCAUAGGCCCAAGAGAUGCAAUAAUGUAACAGACAAGAUCUUUUAAGGAAAUUUUAUCCAACAUUCUUAAUUGGAAGGCAUUUGAGAGGAGCACAGAGAAACCAAGUGCCCAGGUUUCCUGAUACCAGUUCUGCAAAUCCUUGCUACGCUACGCACCAAGGGACCUGCCGUCUUCAUAAAGUUGAUGUCUUCCGCAAAAACAAAACAACACAAAACAAGAAGCCGGCACAGAGUAUGUUCUGUGUAUCUAUGACAGAACACCGAAGCACCCUCUAUUUGGGCAGGCUGACCUCCUCGUGGCGAAUACAGUUUGGGGAGGACGGAGAUAAUAGCCGAUUAGAACAGACCGCGCAGCCAGAUCAGGCACAUACCCAGGCCAGCUGUCCAGGCCUUGCCGACAACCUUCUAUAGCCUCACCUCUAAAUAAACAUGUAACAAACAUCUCAUGGAUAUCCAUUUGAAAGGUCAGCAAAUGAUUAGCCUGCCCAGAGGGCCCACAUGUUUCCAUCCAGCCCUGCGUGAUUUGAGGCCAUUUCCUGCACCAGGGUGCCAAGAGAGAAAUGGGAUGCAAUUUCAACUAGCCAUUUGAGAAAUUCUAAUCAAACCUUCCAGAGGCUUUAACCAAAUAAACGAAUCCAAUGUGUAUUUUAAAAAUGGUCUGAGAAUGUAAAGGCCAAGGAAAGGGAAUGGGAGACAGAACAGAGUAGGGAUAUAAACAUAACAUAGAACAGCCGGAUAAGAAAUGGAAGUUUUAAUCAAGUAACUGCUGUUUUGUACAACUGGUUUGGUUAGCAUUUACUAACAGAUGAGACUUGCCUUUGCUGGAUUGAUGUGAAUAGACUGUUUCCUUCUUGGUCGGGCAGACGUGAUAUGCAGAGGAAGCAAAGUCAUAAUUUACUUGUAAGAGGAGUUACAUCAGCAUCGUGAUGGCAAAAGAUGUCCCUCAUUUUUGUCACCCCGACAGCAAAAGUUCAGCAUCCAUGGGCAAGGGUGUGUUUGCGGUAACUGUGGCAUCCAACACCACCUGCUAAGGGAUCCAGGACAAGUCUCACCUAUCAAUUCAUCAGGCAAUAGGCAGACGGACCUUGGUCCUAGCUGUGGAUCCUGUAAUGGCACCUUAACUGGCUUCAGCCCCUCCAGAAGCUCCUGGAGAACACUGACUUAGGCAAUUGCCUGUGCACGAGAGAGCCUUUGGGGAAGUCCAGGAUUACAGAGAAGAAGUGCCAGCACACUGCUGCAGCAAAAAACCAAUUUGGCUGCCUUCGAGAUGGCAGUAAAGACUGGAGGAGAUGACGCGAGGAUAGCCACGCAGAAGUUCAAGGAACAGGAACGAUCAAGGUCACGUAACGCCGCCAGAAGCUCGUAAUAAGCUUCCUGUAAGCAAACUGAACACAUGAGGAUCUGCAGUUUACCGGACAAAUCAAAAUAGCAGCUUUAAGGAAAUUCAGUAAGCUAUAAGAAAACAAAGCCAAAUUGGUACAGAAACUGUGACACAGAGUGGAGGUUCCUCAAAAAUGUUUAAUGCAGAACUACUAUAUGAUUCUUCAAUCCCAUUUCUGUGUAUGGAUCCAAAGGAAAUGGAAACAAGAUCUUGACAAAAUACCUUCACUUCCAUGUCAGUUCAGCACUAUGCACGGUAGCCAGGAUAUGGAACAACCUAAGUGUCCGUCAACAGACGAAUGGAUAAAGAAGAUGGGACAUGUCGCAUUAUUACGUUGUGUUGUAAUGAAAUAUGUAACGGGAUAUUAUUCGGCCACAAGAAGGAAGGAAAUCCUGCCAUUUGCGACCAUAUGGAUGGACCUUGAGGGCAUGAGGCUAAAUAAGAUAAAUCAGAGAAAGACAAAGCCUGUACGGUAUCACUUCUAUGUGGAACCUAAAACUACUGAACUCAUAGAAACAGAGAGUAGAAGGGUGGUUACCAGUGGCUGAGCAGUGGGGGAAAUGGAGAAAUGUUGGUCAAAGGGUACAGACUUCCAGCUAUACGAUGAUGUCCACGCAUCAGGAAUGGGGCAGGACGUGUUGGACAUGCCUUUCCUCUGCAAUGCCUGCGGCCUCAGGUGGAACACUCAAAGUCUGGGGGCAGAAAUCACCGGAAGAUUUACUCACAUACAUCUAGUGGUUGAUUCUGGCCUUGGGUCACAGAUCUGGCCAGUCCCGGGCUUCCUUACAUCAUAGCUCUGGAUUCUGAGGAUAGGAUUUGGAAUUGAAUCCCAGUAUUAUUUUCAAGGGACAUCGUGUGAAUGCUGAUGCAUCUAAAUCCCAGGCAGCUUGUCACUUGAUGGACUAGUAUCAGUUGCUUUCCAGAACAUCCCAAAGCUGUUGCGUGGUUCUCUAAAUAACAGGUGCACGCAUAGAUCACAAUUGUUUGAUCCAUCAAGUGUAGACAUCUGUGGACCUACUACCAAGAUAGCUGCCUGAUCUCCUUCCCACCUUUCUUCUCCCAUCCUGUCAGCAUAACUAUUAAAUCCAAGAAGGCAGAGGAGGAGAAGAAGAAAAGACAAAACCAUGGAUAUCUCAGAUGUUAAAGGGCUUGGUUUUCUGAGCACAAGAGCAAGUCAUCCUACUGGAACAGAACGGAAACUCCCGUCUAAGGUGUUACUUUCUGAAAGGCACUUUGAAAACAACCCCCCCCCAAAUCUCUUAUAAACCACAGCUGUUAAAAUCCAGAGGUACCCAGCUAGGUAUUAGAGAGUUCUUUCCAACACAGCUAAUAAAUGAGAGGCUGCAGUGAAGACCUCGGCGGGCAUCGCUGAAGCCUGGGAGUUGCGCUGUGACAGUCUGCUGGUGCCUGGCGACGACAGAGAUUAUCAGCGAAGCAUUGAAGGUUACGCCAGGAAUCGCAACAUUGCCACCUGCGCUCCGGCUGGGAAGAACGAGCCUGCCAGGAAAAGUCGUCGCAAAGUUUUGCGUGAUUUCCUCAGUGCCAGAGGCUGGAGGACACGAUGCGACGUGAGCCCCACCGCCCAGCUGCUCUUUGACCUUGGUCAUGAGUCAUCCUUCUCCCCGAACCUCGGCGUUUUGCCAGCUGUGGGGUGGCGGUUGCCAUCACCUGCCUCCCUCACUUGAUCAUUAAGGGCUUUCACGAAUUUCAUUUUCACGCGGUGUUUUCGCAUCCUUGGCAGGGCGUUGCUACCUCGUGUAAGGAGAAAGCCGUUAUCAUUAUUGACCUCAGGGCCAAAAAAGGCUCCUUUUUCCGGCUUCCUUGCUUAUGAAGCCUUAGUAUCAAGCUGGUAUGAAGCUUUUCAUCACGCACACACAAAAAGCAGUCAAAAGGUCACCGUUUGGGAAUAUGAAUUUAUUGUCGCAGCUGCCUUCUGUGAAAGGCAACGUGCUUUCGCACAUGUAGCCGGUUAUAGGGAAGGCUCGCUCCGAAGGUCCCCAGUACAGAUGGCCGGAGCUGGCCUCUGGCGGGCACUUCAUUAAACAGUCUCCCUUUGACCAACAGGCCUCAUUGUGAGGCAGCCCAGGCCUCAGCUGAUGUCAAAAGCCCCAUUCUACCCGGGGUGGAUUCUUCUCACAAAGCAUGCCCACACGCAUCCCGCGGCAGAUAGGGACGGGGCUAGCCCCACAGAUGUCACUGCCACCACCGCCGCUGUCACUUUUCUCCGUCACACGAUCCCGGGUAUCCUUCCAGAGACCAGCACAAAGCUUGAUUCAGAGUUUGCCUUUGACCGAGGCACACUUGGCUGCAGAUGGGACGGGGCGGGGGGUGCGGGGAGAAAAAGGCGUCCUGGUGUUUCUCCACACUCGCCUGGGAAAGCUUGGGAAUUCUGGCUUCUUUGCCAGCGUCGGCUCAGGCUGAAAAACAAAUCAGAAAGCUGCCAAUGGUUUCAUUGAGUCUAGGAAACUGGGUUAAUGCAACUCUGUGCGUGAGACCAUCAAUGAACAAAAGUCAGGAAAUCCAAGAGCGCCAUUCCCACAGCCCACGGAGGCCUUCCACACACAGGUGACUCUGUGUGCCUGCCCGGGCCCUGCACAGCACCCUUGCCAAAGGAGGCACGCCUUCCCGGGAGGUCGCUGGCCUCGAAGGGGGACACGGUCUCCGCAUUCGUUACGUUACAGCUUCACCUCUGAAAUUAUUUGUGUGGUUUUAAGUCCGCCGCACCCCAUUGUAGUUACCCUGCCCCAUUGAACGGACCAAGCCUUUCCUCUUUCCACCUCUGCAUUCUCAGGGCCGAGAACGGAAGCUGGGAUACGCUGAGUAAGGAAAUAACGGGUGGACGCGUGGACGGGUGGGUGCUUGAAAGGUGUCUGUAAAGUGCAAACCGUUCUAUUUCCGCUCAGUCUAAAAACUAUCACACACAAGUGGUUGUCUGCAACUCAAAGCUGCCGUUUUAUCUAGACUCCCAUCCUUCUGAUCUGUGAAGGAGGUGGCAAGUCUCUGCCAUUUCAAAGGCAAGUAGAAACUCUAUACCUUCGCUAUGUAAUUGUUGGCAAAAUCUCAUCAUUAUUCUCCCAGAGUCCCCACCAAAGUCUACCCUCCCAGUGGACCUGUUGCCUCCCCUCUCUCUUUUGCCCCCCAAAGCAAAGAAAGCCCUUGGAAAUUACGUCUAGAAAGCGAGCCCGAGAACUUCACGCAGGGAAUUACGGCGUUGAGGCCAACUCCUUGGUGACACUGCCACUCAGCAGGCAUUCAGUUCCUGCCAGGCGUGUGCACAUAGCAAUUAUUUCACAAGAAGAAUACACAACAAGAGGCGUGGGCAGUGACUUGGUGCCCCCCAGGAGCUGGUAGUGUCCUCAGUGGAGGAGACGUGUUGCACACAGUCAUAGUACGUGAGGCAUGUCCUACAUCCCAAGAGCAAUCACGUGGCAGAAACAUAGUUAAAAUAAGGCAUCUGAGUACACGAAAAAAGAAAAGUGGACCAAACGUUGCAAAGGCUAGGGGAAGGAGAGAAUGGAAUGGUUGGAGAUAAGUGACGUUAACCAGGAUAUUCCUCACUGGGGGGAAGCCAGUUCGGGAACACUUGAAGCAUGGAGAUGGCAUCAUAACAACAUAUCAGAAUUCCAUCACGCUAGAAGAAUCCAGAACUGGACAGAGUAUUAGAGACUGUGUAAGUCAAACCCAUAUUUAUAUAUAUGAAACAACUGACUUACCUACCAGACUAACAGUGAACAACUUUCAUGCAGGAUCAACCGUGAUAUCCACGAACACAGUUCAACUUACGUGUUAUCAGAAGACCCAUCUCAUCUCAAAACGACCCCUUCAGUUCUGAUAGUUCAUAUAUUCCUGCCAUUUUUUCAUCCCUUUGGAUAAACUUAUGCUUCCAGAAAGUGCACAUUAAAAACAAAAAAUCUGAUUUCAAAAUGAGGGGCAGUCCCCCCCCCCGUACCUGUACUCUAUAUGCAUAAAGGUCGUGACAGUCACACACACACACACACACACACACACACACACACACACACACACACACACAAACGCUGAGGAAUUGUUCCAGAUAAAGAAAGACAAAAGAAGCACAAUAAUUAAAUGCCUUGUGGGACCCUGGAUUCGGAUCCUGAACCAGAAAAGGAUUAUUUCCUUUUUGCUUUCCUAUGUGUCAGCAGAACAGUUGGCAAAAUUUGAAUAAAUUCUAGAAAUUAGA